UCUGUGAUGAUCAACCAAUCACCAUCUUUCGGCUGA
rnacentral:snoRNA from 1 species